UUAAAAUGAGAGUUUGAUCCUGGCUCAGGACGAACGCUGGCGGCGUGCCUAAUACAUGCAAGUCGAACGAAACUUUCUUACACCGAAUGCUUGCAUUCACCGUAAGAAGUUGAGUGGCGGACGGGUGAGUAACACGUGGGUAACCUGCCUAAAAGAAGGGGAUAACACUUGGAAACAGGUGCUAAUACCGUAUAUUUCUAAGGAUCGCAUGAUCCUUAGAUGAAAGAUGGUUCUGCUAUCGCUUUUAGAUGGACCUGCGGCGUAUUAACUAGUUGGUGGGGUAACGGCCUACCAAGGUGAUGAUACGUAGCCGAACUGA
rnacentral:rRNA from 1 species